CGUAAAGAAGAAAAACUGGAAAAACUGGCGGCAGGCCUAACACAUGCAGUCGAGCGGAUGACGGGAGCUUGCUCCUUGAUUCAGCGGCGGACGGGUGAGUAAUGCCUAGGAAUCUGCCUGGUAGUGGGGGACAACGUUUCGAAAGGAACGCUAAUACCGCAUACGUCCUACGGGAGAAAGCAGGGGACCUUCGGGCCUUGCGCUAUCAGAUGAGCCUAGGUCGGAUUAGCUAGUAGGUGAGGUAAUGGCUCACCUGACGGACGAUCCGUAACUGGUCUGAGAGGAUGAUCAGUCACACUGGAACUGAGACACGGUCCAGACUCCUACGGGAGGCACAUUGGUUAAUAUUGGACAAUGGGCGAAAGCCUGAUCCCCAUGGCGGGGGGGGGGGCGCCCCCCC
rnacentral:rRNA from 1 species